rnacentral:rRNA from 1 species
UUCCAGACUCCUACGGGAGGCAGCAGUGGGGGAUAUUGCACAAUGGGGGCAACCCUGAUGCAGCGACGCCGCGUGAGCGAUGGAGUACUUCGGUAUGUAAAGCUCUGUCAGCAGGGAAGAGAAUGACGGUACCUGACCAAGAAGCCCCGGCUAAAUACGUGCCAGCAGCCGCGGUAAUACGUAUGGGGCAAGCGUUAUCCGGAUUUACUGGGUGUAAAGGGAGCGUAGGCGGCAGGGCAAGCCUGAUGUGAAAGCCCGGGGCUCAACCCCGGGACUGCUCUUGGAACUGCGUGGCUGGAGUGCAGGAGGGGCAGGCGGAAUUCCUGGUGUAGCGGUGAAAUGCGUAGAUAUCAGGAGGAACACCGGUGGCGAAGGCGGCCUGCUGGACUGCAACUGACGUUGAGGCCCGAAAGCGUGGGGAGCAAACAGGAUUAGAUACCCCCGUAGC